rnacentral:rRNA from 1 species
GCUUACGGCCAUACCACCCUGAGAACGCCCGAUCUCGUCUGAUCUCGGAAGCUAAGCAGGGUCGGGCCUGGUAAGUACUUGGAUGGGAGACCGCCUGGGAAUACCAGGUGCUGUAAGCU